GCAAAAGCAAACACUAAAUUAAACAUAUAUAUUAACACGCAAGGAAAUUUCCUCAUAUGAAAAGGAGUGACAUUUAAGCUGAGGUCUGAAUGACAAGAAGGAGCCAACACAUCAAGAACAGCAAGCCCUCCAGAGGGAUGAGGGCUUUCCUGGUGGCUCAGUGGUAAAGAAUCCAGCUGACAAUGCAGGAGACACGGGUUCGAUCUCUGGUCCGGGAAGAUCCCACAUGCCAUGGAACAACCAAGCGAGUGUACCACAACUAUUGAGCCUGUGCCCUAGAGCCCAUGUGCUGCAGCUACUGAAGCCUGCAUGCCCGAGAGCCAGUGCUCCGCAACAAGAGAAGCCACCUCAAUGAGAAGCCCAUGCACCGCAACUUGAGAGUAGCCCCUACUCACCACACCAGAGGAAAGGGCAAGCAGCAAUGAAGACACAGCACAGCCAAAAAAAUUAAUAAGUUUAAAAAAAAGAGGUAGGGGAUGAGGCUGGAGAGGUGAGCAGAGGGCCUAUUACGAGGGGUCUUAUGUACUAGGGCCUCCUAGGGAUGUAGAUCUGGGAAAUCAAGCAGUUAUGAAUAUGCACAAUUGCUUUAGUAUCCAGCCUACAUGUGUGCUAAGUCACUUCAGUCAUGUCCGACUCUUUGUGACACCAUGGACUGUAGCCCACCAGGCUCCUCUGUCCAUGGGAUUCUCCAGGCAAGAAUACUGGAGUGGGUUGCCAUGCCCUCCUCCAGGGGACCUUCCCGACCCAAGGAUCGAACCUGCAUCUCUUACGUCUCCUGCAUUGGCAGGCAGGUUCUUUACGGCUAGUGCCACCUGGUCUACAUGUGACCAUUUUGUCCACGAAUAAGCCAUGAAUGAUUUCCUGUCCUAAUCCCCAUGCAUGAUCCAAAAUGCCCCCUUUACAUCCUGGCAGCUCCUACCUAGCUCACUGGUGUACGUCAAGACACACUCUGGACCCAUAGUCAGGAUUCAGCAUCCAUUACAUCUCCAGUGUCCUGGCCACAUCAUAGCCUCUCUGAUCUUCAGUUUCUGGGGAUUUUCCCCAUUGUUCCAGAAUGUUAUCUCACUCCUCGCACUAAAGUAUUAAGCAUCUGUGGACACUUACAUCUACAGAGCAGUCACUCUUUCAACCCUUCCCCUUCCUGAUCUCUUCCAUUCUUCUCCCCACAAAGCUCAGGUAAGCUGUG
ensembl:lncRNA